rnacentral:lncRNA from 13 species
AACUGUCCAAUUGAUUUCAGGGCACCAAUGAAUCAAAGUCUGAGGUCCUGGAUGUCUUUGGAGCUUUGAACAGUCUCAACAGUGAUAACGAUCAAAAUGUGCAAUUCAUCCGCCUGUGGUUCAACGUCCAGCUGGUACCUCUUUUACCCCACAUUACCGGAGACUUCCUGUCCCUGUUGAGCACAAGAGACUUCAGCUGCAGCUCCUAUCAGGCACUGUGCGUUGACAAUCAUUUUGAUUCCCAUAUUACUAAGGAAAUUGUCCUCUUCUAUGUUGUUUCAUCUCAAAUAUUUUCUAUUUAAGGGUCCUGGGAUUGAGUGGUGAACUGGUAUCCAUUAAUGAAGAGCAGAAACAAUUGAUCUACACUCACUUUAUCCGUCUUUUCCUGUUCAGAAAGGGAUCAUCAGAUCCUGGAUGCUUGGGAAAUGUAAAUGAAAGUGCAGACUGGUUGUUGAAAAACUUUGGAAACUUUUCAAGCAUUGCUGAUUUAAAGGAUCUGUAUGAACUAAACCAGCAUUUCUCUGCGGUGAGUAUUUCAUAAUCUCAUGAGGCACUGACGAUGAAAAUCAUGGCAAAAUAUAAAUCCAUGAUUAACACAUGUUGUUAUUUUUUUUUAGCUGGAGGUUUUGAAAAUCCUUUCACCAAACCAGAAAGCUGAAUUGAUACUGGACCCAAGCACUGGCGCUCUGGAGAAUGAGACUCUUGUGAAGAACGUUUUCAUCAGCUUGCUGGAAUCCCCAAGGGAAGAGCAGCUCAAUGAGUUCUUUGUGACUUUUGUUGAAGUCACCAAGCAGGUCAGUACAUCACUCUCUGGCUGGAAUGGACCUUGUACAGUGAGACCUGGCUCUCGACAAAGUCAUCUGACAAAACAAUCAGGAUGAAUGGAUGUCCUCCUAAACCAUGAACCAUUUAUUUUCCAGGAAAACAUCACUAUCAUCACAAACACAGCUGUAAGAGACACAAUGCUAGACCUGACCUUGAUGGCUCUUGCUCCCAAAUUCGACGUUUUUGAGCCAAAAGACUUCCAGCUGUGGUUCCAAGUCAAUCUGGUUGUUCUGCUGGCCAGCUUCCAUCCUGGCAGAUUGGUUGAUAUCCCCCUAAACAUCACCUGUGAAUCCUACAAUGCCAUAUUUACGGGUCUCGACCAAAGUUUGGAAUCUCUUCCGCCUCACCUCUCACAGGGUGUAAAGGCAAGCUUGGAUGCACUGAUGAAGACAUUCCAACGUUGCUCAAGGCCUCCAGCUUUAAUUGUGUGCAAAGAAACAUUGGUCAAUGAGAAACAACUUUGUGCUGGAUUUAACAGCACACAACUGAAGCAACAAAUGUCGAUUGGGAAUUCCAAUGAAUCCCUUUGCAAUUUCAACAUCUCUGAAUAUGCCUGUUCCUCAGUAAGCUUUUUCAAUUCACCACUAAAUGUUGUCAGUAGCAACAGAUACAUUUNNNNNNNNNNGUUGCUUCCUUCUCUAUUGAAUAUAACAUCAAUGUACUCCACUUUUCAAUAA